rnacentral:ncRNA from 1 species
GGCCGGAUAAGGCGUUUACGCCGCAUCCGGCAAUCAAUGCCUGAUGCGAUGCUGUCGCGUCUUAUCAGGCC